rnacentral:tRNA from 1 species
AGGGAAAUAGUUAAAUUUUUAUAACAUUUAAUUUGCAAUUAAAAAUUACUAUAUUAUUAGUUUUCCUUA